AGACCAUUUGGCACAAAGGAUACUUUAAGAAGCCGAAAACAUACUCCUCACUCAUUGCAUGACUUCAAGGCAGACAUAAUAAAAAGGUAUGUAUGUUCAUUCAAUGCAGAUCAACACAGUGAUGUGGAAGGUCAAAGUGGGGAGCUGUCUGAUGAAGGUCAAGAUGACAAUAAUGAUGUUACAGACCUGCCAAACUGCAUGGAAAAAAAAUGGCUUUGUUGUUUCUAAAACUGGAGAGCACUUUUAAUGUAUCUUACAGGUGUAUAGAAGAGGUUGUUAA
ensembl:processed_transcript